UGGGCGGAGCCCGAGGCUGGAGUUGGGGGUGGGCGGGUUACCGGGAAGGUGCUCGGUAGCCCCGGGCUUGCACGUGGAGGUGGAGUGCAGACGCUCCCCAAAGCCGGGAAGGUCGAAGGUUUUGCCUCCCACUCGAGAGAAAUCAAAGGAUGUGCCGGAUUUCCAAUAAAUAGCACCUUUGGAUGUAGAAGAGGAAUGGCUCCCUCACCCUGCUACGCACACCCCCACGCCACCCCACAGCUCUGACACGGCUUUUCUUCGGCAGCCGCACACUGUUACCAUUCCCGGCUUGUGUGGGAGAAGACUGUUGUGCGCCUGUGUCUGUCCGCCUGGGCAGCUCCAGCCCCUGGUUAAUAAAAAAGGUACAGAUGGUUAAGACACGAAUGUGUUACGUCAGGCUCGGUUUUUAAAAGUCCCUUGCUCCCUACAUCGUUUGUGUCUCCUGAGACAGACUAUUCAGAGGAUCGAUUUGAGUCUAAUGGCAGUCAUGAGAACGAGGGACCCAUGCCGGGACUGUCAGUAUAUCGCAAUGCUGUACUUAUAACAAAAAGUUUAUCUUUUAACAUUUUUUAACACAUAAAAAAUGAAACUAUCA